GAUAACAGGCUUAUCUCCCCCAAGAGUCCACAUCGACGGGGAGGUUUGGCACCUCGAUGUCGGCUCAUCGCAUCCUGGGGCUGUAGUCGGUCCCAAGGGCUGGGCUGUUCGCCCAUUAAAGCGGUACGCGAGCUGGGUUCAGAACGUCGUGAGACAGUUCGGUCCCUAUCCGUCGCGGGCGUAGGAAAUUUGAGAGGACCUGUCCUUAGUACGAGAGGACCGGGAUGGACAUACCGCUGGUGUACCAGUUGUUCCGCCAGGAGCAUCGCUGGGUAGCUAUGUAUGGAUGAGAUAAACGCUGAAAGCAUCUAAGUGUGAAACUCGCCUCAAGAUGAGAUUUCCCAUUCCUUUGGAAGUAAGACCCCACAGAGAUGAUGUGGUAGAUAGGAUGGAAGUGGAAGUGCGGUGACGCAUGGAGCGGACCAUUACUAAUCGGUCGAGGACUUAACCAA
rnacentral:rRNA from 1 species